rnacentral:rRNA from 1 species
ACGCACGCUGGCGGCGUGCUUAACACAUGCAAGUCGAACGGAAAGGCCCUGCUUUUGUGGGGUGCUCGAGUGGCGAACGGGUGAGUAACACGUGAGUAACCUGCCCUUGACUUUGGGAUAACUUCAGGAAACUGGGGCUAAUACCGGAUAGGAGCUCCUGCUGCAUGGUGGGGGUUGGAAAGUUUCGGCGGUUGGGGAUGGACCCGCGGCUUAUCAGCUUGUUGGUGGGGUAGUGGCUUACCAAGGCUUUGACGGGUAGCCGGCCUGAGAGGGUGACCGGCCACAUUGGGACUGAGAUACGGCCCAGACUCCUACGGGAGGCAGCAGUGGGGAAUAUUGCACAAUGGGCGGAAGCCUGAUGCAGCAACGCCGCGUGCGGGAUGACGGCCUUCGGGUUGUAAACCGCUUUCGCCUGUGACGAAGCGUGAGUGACGGUAAUGGGUAAAGAAGCACCAGCUAACUACGUG